CGGGGUGCACCAGGCGCGAAAACUUUACAAUGCUGGCAACAGCGAUAAGGGGACCUCGAGUGCCAGGAUACAAUCUUGGCUGUCGUGAUGCCUAAAAAGCAUUGCAUAGCAAGGGCCGGGCAAGACCGGUGCCAGCCGCCGCGGUAACACCGGCGGCUCGAGUGGUAACCGCUAUUAUUGGGUCUAAAGGGUCUGUAGCCGGCCGGAUAAGUCUCUUGGGGAAUCCGACAGCUCAACUGUCGGGCUUUCAGGGGAUACUGUUCGGCUCGAGGCCGGGAGAGGUGAGAGGUACUUCAGGGGUAGGGGUGAAAUCUUGUAAUCCUUGAAGGACCACCAGUGGCGAAGGCGUCUCACCAGAACGGUCCUGACGGCAAGGGACGAAAGCUAGGGGCACGAACCGGAUUAGAUACCCGGGUAGUCCUAGCCGUAAACGAUACUCGCUAGGUGUCGGCCACGGUGCGACCGUGGUCGGUGCCGUAGGGAAGCCGUGAAGCGAGCCACCUGGGAAGUACGGCCGCAAGGCUGAAACUUAAAGGAAUUGGCGGGGGAGCAC
rnacentral:rRNA from 1 species